rnacentral:rRNA from 1 species
UACGUGAGCUGGGUUCAGACCGUCGUGAGACAGGUCGGUCCCUAUCUGCCGUGGGCGCACGAAACUUGAGGAGGUUCUUCUUUAGUACGAGAGGAUUUGGAAGGACGUAGCUCUGGUGUACCAGUUGUCGCGCUAGCGGCACGGCUGGAUAGCUAACUACGGAAAGGAUAAACGCUGAAGGCAUCUAAGCGUGAAGCCCGCUCCAAGAUUAGGUUUCGUGUAGCUCUGCUAGAGAGUCCCCUGGAAGACGACCAGGUUGAUAGGCCAGAUGUGUAAGCUCAGUAAUGGGUUCAGCUAACUGGUACUAACGGACAAAUGCUUGGCCAC